rnacentral:rRNA from 1 species
UCUCUAUCCAUGGGAUUGAUUGGCAUUAUCUGCGAUGAAGGACGUGCUGGAGGACGAUAUGCCGUUUUUUUUAGCGGAUGUCUGAAUUAGGUGUUUGUGCGCCUGUGGACCCCUUUGACUUAAGCAUAUUACUAAAGGGAGGAGAAGAAACUAAAUAGGAUUAUCUGAGUAGCGGCGAGUGAAAGGAUAUGAGCCUGUGUGGUAAUCACGUGUGUGAGUUGUGAAUUAGGAUGACGAUGCUGAGGACGGAUUGGAAUCUGUUUUCUUAGGGGGUGAUAGGCCUGUAAGUGUUGUCUUUUUUUGUGAUGAGUAGGGUUGUUUGGUAGUGCAGCCUGAAUGUGGGUGGUAUGUGCAUCCAAGGCUAAAUAUGUGAUGAUGACCGAUAGCGAAUAAGUAGAGUGAUUGAAGUGUGAAAAGAUUAAUGAUGAGAAAUGAAAAUGGAUUGAGUGAAUGGGGGUUUUUUUCCCACCCGUCUUGAAACACGGACCAAGGAGAGGAUGAUUACAUUGUUGAGCGAGAGCGAUUGGAUGUGAUGAUCCGACCCGAAAGAUGGUGAACUAUGUUUGUAUUGAUUGAAGGGAUGCGAAAGUGUUCUGGAGGAUCUAAGCCAUUCUGACGUGCAACUCGAUGGCAUGAUAUGGACAUAGGGGCGAAAGACCAAACGAACCAUCUGGUAGCUGGUUCCCUCUGAAAUGUCUCUCAGGACGGCGGCGACUGAUUAUUUAUGUAAGAUGUUGUAAAGCACUAAUGACUUUUGUCGUUAAACUUUGAAGAUGUCUUUUAAUGAUGUUGCUAGUGGGCAUAUUGUGGUAAGCAUGAUGUGCGAGGAGGGAUGAACCUUUUUUGCGGCUAAGGAGUCUUAUGCAAGGGAAGUGAAUCUGGCGGUUUGAUUUUGACAGUUGGACGGUGGCCAUGGAGGUUGGCAUCCGCUAAGAAACGUGUUGCAACGUACCUACCGAAUUGGGCGCUGGAGAAAAUGGAAGGGAUUGAAUUGCUAUCUGAUGCCGCUGUGGUUUUGCUGAGUAAGAGGGCGAUAUUAUUCUGAUGAAGGUCCUGCGUGAGCGGGGGUGGAGGGGUGAUAUGAGCAGAUCUUGGUAGUAGUAACAAGAAAAUGAUUUAGGAUGUGGACGAGGGUUCCCUAUUUUUAGGGGUGAAUCGACUGUUUAUACGGAGACGCAUUGACGAUUGUGUGUAUGUAUGCUUUGAGGCGACUUGAUGAUGACGGAUGGGGGUAACCUUUACUCUAGGAUAGCAGAACUAGGGUGAUUUUUGUUGUGGAUUGUUAAGAGACGAAGCAACUGAUGUGGGGAGUGCCUGUUCCGAUGAAAAAGAAGUGUAUGUGUCGUACCUAUACCGCAUCUGGUGUCCACUGUUUGCCACGGAAGCGUUUUAUUUAAAGGUUGUAAGGGAAGUCGGCAAAAUGGAUGUGUAACUUUGGGAGAAGGAUUGGCUCUAGCGUGCUAGAACUGUUUAUUGUGGGGAAUCUGACUGUUUACUAAAAACAUAGCUUUGCGAAAGGACGCAAAGUGAAUUCUGCCCAGUGCACUUUUAGUUAUGACUUUUUAAGUUUAAGCGAGUGUAAACGGCGGGAGUAACUAUGACUCUCUUAAGGUAGCCAAAUGCCUCGUCAUGUAAUUAGUGACGCGCAUGAAUGGAGCAACGAGAUUCCCACUGUCCCUACGACUUGUAUUGUGAACCUACAGCCAAGGGAACGGGCUUGGGCUGAUCAGCGGGGAAAGAAGACCCUGUUGAGCUUGACUCUAGCAUGUGAGAAGUGCUGGGGGUGGUUAUGAAGAGAGGUGGGGAGUUUGUGCGAGACCACUAUGACUGCGCCUCAGCGGUUUAUUUAUGGAUGUGGGGAGUUUGGCUGGGGCGGCACGACUGCUAAAGAUUAACGCAGACGUCCUAAGGCGGGCUCAGCGGGGAAGGAAACCACGCGUGGAGCACAAGGGCAUAAGCCUGCUUGAGACUAUUCCUAUUGCGGGAUUGUUUUGGGGGAAACCCUGGCCUAGAGAUCCCAUGUCCUAUUAGUGUUUGGGACAUGGGUGACAGAAAAGUUACCACAGGGAUAACUGGCUUGUAGCAGCCGAGCGAUCAUAGCGACGCUGCUUUUUGAUUCUUCGAUGUCGGCUCUUCCUAUCAUCGUGAAGCAGAAAUUGCGAAGUGUUGGAUUGUUCACCCACCAACAGGGAACGUGAGCUGGGUUUAGACCGUCGUGAGACAGGUUAGUUUUACCCUACUGUGAUUGACUGUGCAGUAAAUCUUGAUAGUACGAGAGGAACUCUUGAUUGCGACCUCUGGUGGAGCGGCGUGCCUGCUGGCUGUUGCGGAGCUACGUCGGGAGUAUAAUGGCUGAAGGCCUCUAAGCCUGAAGACUGACUGCGCUGUAUUAUGAUUAGCGGAAGACGACCGUUGUGGAUGCAAGCUGUACGAAUGGAGGAGUAUUCCGACAUUUUGAGGCUGUGCAUUUUGUGUUUUUGUGUGUGAGAGGGUGUGUUGUGUGUGAUGCGUGGUGCUGUGUGGUGUUUUUUUUGUUUUGUGUGUGUUUGUUGUGUGUUUUGGCUAUGGGUGAGUGAUGAUGUGUGUUGUGUGAGAUAGUUGUUUGUGUUUAUGCUGUUGUGUUUGUGUGUGAUGAUGUGCGUGAUGUUAGUUUUAGUUUUUUUGUUGUGUGAUUCUGGCUUUUUUUUUUUAUUUUGUGAAUUGUGUAUGUUGAUGAUUUUGAUUAUUGUUUGUGUUUGU